UACGAAGGGGGCUAACGUUGUUCGGAAUUACUGGGCAUAAAGCGCACGUAGGCGGUCCGUUAAGUCAUGUGUGAAAUCCCCCGGCUCAACCGGGGAAUUGCGCCUGAUACUGGCGGGCUAGAGGUCGAUAGGGGUGAGCGGAACUCCAGGUGGAGCGGUGAAAUGCGUAGAUAUCUGGAGGAACACCGGUGGCGAAAGCGGCUCACUGGAUCGAAACUGACGCUGGAGGUGCGAAAGCUAGGGUAGCAAACGGG
rnacentral:rRNA from 1 species